AGUUGGUGAAAUCGAUUGAUACCGCUGAAACCCUAGCCUCCAUCCAUCUCUCUCUGAAACCCUAGAACCACCAACCUUCAUCCAUCCAUGGCGAAAAAGCGAAAGUCUCGUACUCCCCAACCUUCCGUCGAACAACCCGCACCUGCGGACGAACCCAUCAACGAACCGGAGCUCGAACAAACCGCCAUUGAUGAUGCAAUCGACGAAAACGCUCAAAAUCCGGAACAAAACACAGAAACCUACGAACAAGAAGCAGAAGAUAAUCAACAAGACAACGAAGAAGAAGAAGAAGAAGAGGAAGAAGAAGUAGAGGAAGAGGAAGAAGAAGACGAAGACGAAGAAAACGAUCAGGAAACCACCGGAAACGAGGUAAUUAAGACGGAAGAAGAAACAGAGAAUUUAGAUUUAGAUGAUGAACCAGUAGAGAAGCUUCUGGAACCGUUUUCAAAAGAACAGUUAGUUUUAUUACUUAAAGAAGCUGUUACAAAACAUCCUGAGUUUAUUGAAUCUGUUCAAGCAAUUGCCGAUGCAGAUCCGGCUCACCGAAAGAUAUUCGCUUACGGUUUAGGGUGGGAUACGACAACUGAGGUGUUAUUAAGUGAGUAUGGGAAGUAUGGUGAGAUUGAGGAUUGUAAACAUGUGGUUGAUAAGGUGUCUGGUAAAUCGAAAGGUUACGCGUUUAUAUUGUUUAAACAUCGGGCCGGGGCGCAGAAGGCGUUGAAGGAGCCGCAGAAGAAGAUAGGGAGUAGAGUGAGUUCGUGUCAGUUGGCUUCGGCUGGGCCGGGUCCAGGGAAUGCGCAAUCGAGUGCUGCCAAUGCGAAUGCACCGGUGGUGUCGGAGUAUACGCAGAGGAAGAUAUUUGUGAGUAAUGUGGCAGCGGAUAUUGAUCCGAAUAAACUUUUGGAGUUCUUUUCGAAGUUUGGGGAGAUUGAGGAUGGGCCAUUGGGGUUGGAUAAGCAGACGGGGAAGCCUAGAGGGUUUGCGCUGUUUGUGUAUAAGAGUGUGGAGAGUGCGAAAAAGGCGCUGGAAGAGCCACAUAAGGUGUUUGAAGGGCACACUUUGCAUUGCCAGAAGGCCGUUGAUGGUCCGAAACCGAAUAAGCCGUUUUUUCAGCAGCCGCAUCAGCAGCAUAACCAGUAUGGUGGUGGUGGCGGGCAUCAUCAUCCUUCAAAGAAAAGCAAGUAUUCGAAUUCAGGAGGUGGUGGAGGAUACGGGCCUGGUCAUGGUCAUUUAAUGGCGCCUGCUGGACCGUCAGUGGGUUACAACCCUGUGGUUUCGCCUGCCUUGACUCCUGUUUUGGGUCAGGCAUUGACUGCACUUCUUUCCAGUCAGGGAGGUGGUCUGGGAAAUCUUUUGGGUCUUGGUGGAGCUCCACAGGGGAUGCCGCCUGCAGGGUAUGGUGCUCAACCUGGGAUGCAGGGUGGUUACCCGAAUCCGCAGGCCGGUCAAGGAGGUAAUAGGCCGCAGCAAGGUGGUGCGCCUUACAUGGGUCAUGGUCGCUAGAAUGAGCUCGCUCGAGUGGUCAGUGGCAUUUGUCCUGCGCAGACACGAGUGGCUGUGGCUGUGGCUGUUACAGAAUUGGAGAUCAUCUUAUUAUGUCGUACGGUUUUGAUCUGUGGUGGAUGGUUUAACCAACUUGGCAUAUGUACAGUUGGCUGGAGGGUUCACAAAACAAACGUGUUUGAAACCAAACUUAGAGCACCUGCAAUCAGGGCGUUGACGAGCACAUGGAAGAAAAGGGAUGAUAGAGAGUGAUAUGGUCAAAGGAACACUUGAAGCCAAGCAACAAUACUUAUUUUUUAUAAUCUUUGUUGAAGGUGACAGACCGAUGCGUGUGUGUAGGAAUUUCAAAGCGUCAGAAUUUGUAGCUUCCGUCGAUAGGUGAAAACCCAUGAGAUUAAGAAAUGUAUAAUCAGGAUGGCUACAUUUCUUAUUCGUUUUGUCAUUUUCGACAAGUUUUUAUAUCGCAAGCCUAAUAACAAGGUUUAAGUAA